GACAUUACCGAGUAUCGGGUCCUCGCGGCCCGCACUCCAACCCUUUGUGUACCAACUUUGUUGCUUUGGCGGGCCCGCGGUGUAAUGCCGCAGCCGGCUCACGCCGGUUAGCGCCCGCCAGAGAACCGUUAAACUCUUGUUUAAACAGUGUCGUCUGAGCAAAAUCAUAACAGUUAAAACUUUCAACAACGGAUCUCUUGGUUCUGGCAUCGAUGAAGAACGCAGCGAAAUGCGAUAAGUAAUGUGAAUUGCAGAAUUCAGUGAAUCAUCGAAUCUUUGAACGCACAUUGCGCCCCCUGGUAUUCCGGGGGGCAUGCCUGUUCGAGCGUCAUUUCAACCCUCAAGCUCUGCUUGGUAUUGGGCAUCGCAGGAGCCUGUCUCCGGCGUGCCUCAAAGCCAUCGGCGGUGGUGCCUUUCUCUAAGCGUGGUAGAAUCUUUAUUCGCUUCUGAGUUGGGUCUCACCCGCCGGAUAAACCGGGCCUCGCGUCCACUUUCUCAGGUUGACCUCGGAUCAGGUAGGGAUACCCGCUGAACUUAAGCAUAUCAAUAAG
rnacentral:misc_RNA from 1 species